AGCGAACGCUGGCGGCAGGCUUAACACAUGCAAGUCGAGCGGUCACUUUCGGGUGUCAGCGGCGGACGGGUGAGUAACGCGUGGGAACGUGCCCUCUGGUUCGGAAUAACUCAGGGAAACUUGAGCUAAUACCGGAUACGCCCUUUUGGGGAAAGGCUUGCUGCCGGAGGAUCGGCCCGCGUCUGAUUAGCUAGUUGGUGAGGUAACGGCUCACCAAGGCGACGAUCAGUAGCUGGUCUGAGAGGAUGAUCAGCCACACUGGGACUGAGACACGGCCCAGACUCCUACGGGAGGCAGCAGUGGGGAAUAUUGGACAAUGGGCGCAAGCCUGAUCCAGCCAUGCCGCGUGAGUGAUGAAGGCCUUAGGGUUGUAAAGCUCUUUUAUCCGGGACGAUAAUGACGGUACCGGAGGAAUAAGCCCCGGCUAACUUCGUG
rnacentral:rRNA from 1 species